GGUGUAUUCAUGUAUGUACAUAGGAAAGUUGUGUGCAGUUCAUUCCACUGUCUUUCCUAUUCCUAUUCCUCCUCCCUUCCCUUCAUUCCCGUUUAUCUGUUCUAUUAUAACAGCUCAAUUCACAACAGCUAAACUAUGGAGCCAGUCUAGGUGCCUUUCAACAGAUGAAUGGAUAAAGAAAAUGUUGUAUAUAGAUACAAUGGAAUACUACUCAGUCAUACAAAGAAUAACUUUAUGACAUUAGCCAGUAAAUUGAUGGAUCCAGAAACGAAAGUGCUCAAUGAAAUAAGCCAAUCCCGCCCCAAGAAAGUUGAAAGUUCUCUCUGAUGUGCAGAUGUUAACCCACAGUAAGGGGAGCAAGAUGAAUAGAAGUUCUGUGUGAAGAAUUUCUAAGCACCGGGUAGGCAGACAUUUGUGCUUACUAAUGGGAGAAGGAUUGGUUUAAAGGGGAAGGAGAAGGUACUAGUGUGUGUGGGUAGACCAGAACCCCAGCCAAGGAAAUCAUUUUUAGUGUACUCUGAAUCACAAACAUUCUAAGAGAAAGAGAAUACCUACAAAACAAAUAUCUUCACACAAUAAACAGGUCUUUCUUCCCCAACUACGCUCUUUGAGACUUAAUUUUUUCCUGCAGCCAUCUUUCUCAGAACAGACCACCUUUGGUCACUAGGCCCAGAACCUCCCCAGUCCUGGCAGGCCCUUCAGCCCGGUUCCCUGACCUGAGGAGGUCCAGGGACUCUCAGGCUUUACCUGGCAAGUUUUCACCAUUUUAAUGAGUCCCAUAUGCCCAUAAGACUAGUGGGGGUUUUAUUUUUGUUUUUGUUUUUUUAGUCUCUAACUCAAGCCAGGCACACUUACUAGAUAUUUUAGCCCGACGAGUAUCCAGGCUUUAACCCACUUAAGAUGGUAUUUCUGCCUAAUUAGGGAAACAGAUUUUUGUCCAGUUAGUCCCCACCCACUGCCAGCUCACCAUUUUCCUGUGUGCCCUUCUUCCCCCACCUCUCGCCUUUGGAAGCUUGCUGCAUGUACUGCACACAUGUGCACACACUUACUCAGGCACAUUGAC
rnacentral:lncRNA from 1 species